UGAGUUUGAUCCUGGCUCAGAACGAACGCUGGCGGCAUGCCUAACACAUGCAAGUCGAACGAGAUCUUCGGAUCUAGUGGCGCACGGGUGCGUAACGCGUGGGAAUCUGCCCUGGGGUACGGAAUAACUCAGAGAAAUUUGAGCUAAUACCGUAUGAUGACGUAAGUCCAAAGAUUUAUCGCCCUGGGAUGAGCCCGCGUAGGAUUAGCUAGUUGGUGGGGUAAAGGCCUACCAAGGCGACGAUCCUUAGCUGGUCUGAGAGGAUGAUCAGCCACACUGGGACUGAGACACGGCCCAGACUCCUACGGGAGGCAGCAGUGGGGAAUAUUGGACAAUGGGCGAAAGCCUGAUCCAGCAAUGCCGCGUGAGUGAUGAAGGCCUUAGGGUUGUAAAGCUCUUUUACCCGGGAAGAUAAUGAC
rnacentral:rRNA from 1 species